rnacentral:rRNA from 1 species
AUUGAACGCUGGCGGCAUGCCUUACACAUGCAAGUCGAACGGCAGCACGGGGCAACCUGGUGGCGAGUGGCGAACGGGUGAGUAAUGCAUCGGAACGUACCUUUCAGUGGGGGAUAACGUAGCGAAAGUUACGCUAAUACCGCAUAUUCUGUGAGCAGGAAAGCAGGGGAUCGCAAGACCUUGCGCUGAUUGAGCGGCCGAUGUCAGAUUAGCUAGUUGGUGAGGUAAAGGCUCAACAAGGCGACGAUCUGUAGCGGGUCUGAGAGGAUGAUCCGCCACACUGGAACUGAGACACGGUCCAGACUCCUACGGGAGUCAGCAGUGGGGAAUUUUGGACAAUGGGGGCAACCCUGAUCCAGCCAUGCCGCGUGAGUGAAGAAGGCCUUCGGGUUGUAAAGCUCUUUCGGCCGGGAAGAAAUCGCACGGGCUAAUACCCUGUGUGGAUGACGGUACCGGAAUAAGAAGCACCGGCUAACUACGUGCCAGCAGCCGCCGUAACAC